rnacentral:rRNA from 1 species
CCUACGGGUGGCAGCAGUGAGGAAUAUUGGUCAAUGGCCGAGAGGCUGAACCAGCCAAGUCGCGUGAGGGAAGACGGCCCUACGGGUUGUAAACCUCUUUUGUCGGGGAGCAAAGCGAGUCACGUGUGACUCAUUGCGAGUACCCGAAGAAAAAGCAUCGGCUAACUCCGUGCCAGCAGCCGCGGCAAUACGGAGGAUGCGAGCGUUAUCCGGAUUUAUUGGGUUUAAAGGGUGCGCAGGCGGAGGUGCAAGUCAGCGGUCAAAUUGCGGGGCUCAACCCCGUACUGCCGUUGAAACUGCAGCCCUUGAGUGCGCGAGAGGUAUGCGGAAUGCGUGGUGUAGCGGUGAAAUGCAUAGAUAUAAGGCAGAACUCCGGUUGCGAAGGCAGCAUACCGGCGCGCAACUGACGCUCAUGCACGAAAGCGUGGGUAUCGAACAGGAUUAGAUACCCGAGUAGUC